GACGAACGCUGGCGGCGUGCUUAACACAUGCAAGUCGAACGGAAAGGCCCUGCUUGCAGGGUACUCGAGUGGCGAACGGGUGAGUAACACGUGGGUGAUCUGCCCUGCACUUCGGGAUAAGCCUGGGAAACUGGGUCUAAUGCCGGAUAGGAGCCAUUUUUAGUGUGAUGGUUGGAAAGUUUUUUCGGUGUAGGAUGAGCUCGCGGCCUAUCAGCUUGUUGGCGGGGUAAUGGCCUACCAAGGCGGCGACGGGUAGCCGGCCUGAGAGGGUGGACGGCCACAUUGGGACUGAGAUACGGCCCAGACUCCUACGGGAGGCAGCAGUGGGGAAUAUUGCACAAUGGGCGCAAGCCUGAUGCAGCGACGCCGCGUGGGGGAUGACGGCCUUCGGGUUGUAAACUCCUUUCGCUAGGGACGAAGCUUUUUGUGACGGUACCUAGAUAAGAAGCACCGGCUAACUACGU
rnacentral:rRNA from 1 species